AUUGAACGCUGGCGGCAUGCUUUACACAUGCAAGUCGAACGGUAACAGGCCGCAAGGUGCUGACGAGUGGCGAACGGGUGAGUAAUGCAUCGGAACGUGCCCAGUCGUGGGGGAUAACUACUCGAAAGAGUAGCUAAUACCGCAUACGAUCUAUGGCUGAAAGCGGGGGACCGUAAGGCCUCGCGCGAUUGGAGCGGCCGAUGUCAGAUUAGGUAGUUGGUGGGGUAAAGGCUCACCAAGCCAACGAUCUGUAGCUGGUCUGAGAGGACAACCAGCCACACUGGGACUGAGACACGGCCCAGACUCCUACGGGAGGCAGCAGUGGGGAAUUUUGGACAAUGGGCGCAAGCCUGAUCCAGCAAUGCCGCGUGCAGGAAGAAGGCCUUCGGGUUGUAAACUGCUUUUGUACGGAACGAAACGGCUCUGGUUAAUACCCGGGGCUAAUGACGGUACCGUAAGAAUAAGCACCGGCUAACUACGUG
rnacentral:rRNA from 1 species